UACAGGAGGGUGCGAGCGUUGUUCGGAAUUACUGGGCGUAAAGGGCUCGUAGGCGGCCAACUAAGUCAGACGUGAAAUCCCUCGGCUUAACCGGGGAACUGCGUCUGAUACUGGAUGGCUUGAGAUUGGGAGAGGGAUGCGGAAUUCCAGGUGUAGCGGUGAAAUGCGUAGAUAUCUGGAGGAACACCGGUGGCGAAGGCGGCAUCCUGGACCAACACUGACGCUGAUGAGCGAAAGCCAGGGGAGCAACGGG
rnacentral:rRNA from 1 species